rnacentral:rRNA from 1 species
AUUGAACGCUGGCGGCAUGCCUUACACAUGCAAGUCGAACGGAAACGUGCCUUCGGGUGCCGACGAGUGGCGAACGGGUGCGUAAUACAUCGGAACGUGCCCGAUCGCUGUGGAUAACGAGGCGAAAGCUUUGCUAAUACCGCAUACGAUCUACGGUUGAAAGCCGGGGACCGCAAAGCCUUACGCGGGCGUUGCGGUCGAUGGCAGAUUAGGUAGUUGGUGGGUUAAAGGCUUACCAAGCCGACGAUAUGUAGCUGGUCUGAGAGGAUGAUCAGCCACACUGGGACUGAGACACGGCCCAGACUCCUACGGGAGGCAGCAGUGGGGAAUUUUGGACAAUGGGCGCAAGCCUGAUCCGGCCAUGCCGCGUGCAGGAUGAAGGCCUUCGGGUUGUAAACUGCUUUUGUACGGAACGAAAAGCCUUCUUUUAAUACAGGAGGGUCAUGACGGUACCGUAAGAAUAAGCACCGGCUAACUACGUG